rnacentral:rRNA from 1 species
CCUACGGGCGGCAGCAGUGAGGAAUAUUGGUCAAUGGGCGCGAGCCUGAACCAGCCAAGUCGCGUGAGGGAUGACGGCCCUAUGGGUUGUAAACCUCUUUUAUAAGGGAAUAAAGUGCGGCACGCGUGCCGCUUGGCAUGUACCUUAUGAAUAAGGAUCGGCUAACUCCGUGCCAGCAGCCGCGGUAAUACGGAGGAUCCGAGCGUUUUCCGGGUUUAUUGGGUUUAAAGGGGGCGUAGGGGGGCUUUUAAGUCAGCGGUGAAAGUGUGGGGCGCAACCCUAGGAUUGCCGUUGAAACUGGCGGUCUUGAGUGUGCUUGAGGCAGGCGGAAUGCGUGGUGUAGCGGUGAAAUGCAUAGAUAUCACGCAGAACCCCGAUUGCGAAGGCAGCGUGCCAACCCCUGACUGACGCUGAUGCACGAAAGCGUGGGUAUCGAACAGGAUUAGAUACCCCUGUAGUC